GCCUGGGUGGCUAAGUCUGUUAAGUGUCUGACUUUGGCUCAGGUCAUGAUCUCUCGGUUCGUGAGUUCGAGCCCCACGUCGGGCU
rfam:Felis catus isolate Cinnamon breed Abyssinian chromosome X, whole genome shotgun sequence.